AGAGAAAGACGAUUAAAUUAAGAUUAAAAUUGUGAUUUAUUCUUUAGCUGUUAAUUUAAAUCUAUUAUAGUAGAGUCUCAUAGCUCAGCUGGUUAGAGCGCUACACUGAUAAUGUAGAGGUCGGCAGUUCGAGUCUGCCUGAGACUACUAAAUAAAGGAAAUUCUGGAAGUUGAGUAGUGGUUAUAGUCUAACUACUAACUACUAUGUACUACUACUAGUAUAUGGGGGAUUAGCUCAGCUGGCUAGAGCGCCUGCCUUGCACGCAGGAGGUCAUCGGUUCGACUCCGAUAUUCUCCACAAUCAGUUAUACUGAUAAAGUUCAUUGACAUAUUGAAAAAGAUACAUGAAAUUAGAUAUUUAUAUCUAAAAUAAAUUAUUGUAACGAGCAAUAAUAAACUCAUUAAAAGACAAAAAGUAC
rnacentral:tRNA from 1 species